GCCUUCUUCCUACUCUCUGCAGCUCUUAGUUCCUCAACACUGCAGACAUGAAGCCUCUGUUCAUCUCUGUGCUGCUGGCUGCUGUGAGUCUCGAAUGCAGAGCACAGACAGACAACGUGCAGCAACCAGGAGGAGAUGUGACUGCAGCUGAAGGAGACACAGUCACUCUGGGAUGUCACUUUAACAGCAGUUCAUCCAACUAUUAUCUGUUCUGGUACAAACAGGAUGGAAGCAACAGACCAACAUUCAUCCUGAGUCGCUUUAAGAUUGGAACAGGAACCACAGCAGAAGAGUUCAAGGAGAGAUUUUCCUCCAGUCUGGAUUCAGAAUCCAGAUCAGUUCCUCUGAAGAUCCAGAAGCUUCAUGUGUCUGACUCUGCUGUGUACCACUGUGCUCUGCAGCCCACAGUGACAGGAAACAGCAAAGCUCUGUGCAAAAACCUGCAGAGCAGAGACAACAUCCUCUAGAGGGCGCUCAAAAGCUGACUAUCAUGACCAUUAAAAUGUGAACUGAUGUUCCUGAUGUGCUGUCCAAAGGUUUUAUCUUCACAGAAAACAAAAGAGGUGAAAUCAGAGAACCCUGAGGAACCGUGAGAGGAUGAUAAGGCCCAGAUGAACAUGUCUACAUGUUACAUUUAUAUCUGGCUCUGAAACUCAAGAAAGUUUGAUUUUUCAAUCAAAUAAUGCUAGAAUUAUUUUUUAACCACAGGUUACUGGUGGAGUUUAGAUCUAAAAUGUCAACGUGUCAACGCCUUUUAUUCAA